rnacentral:misc_RNA from 1 species
GAUGAAGAACGUAGCGAAAUGCGAUAAGUAAUGUGAAUUGCAGAAUUCAGUGAAUCAUCGAAUCUUUGAACGCACAUUGCGCCCCUUGGUAUUCCGAGGGGCAUGCCUGUUCGAGCGUCAUUAUAACCCUCAAGCUCAGCUUGGUGUUGGGGCCUGCUGCACUGGCAGCCCUUAAAAUCAGUGGCGGCGCCAUCUGGCUCUAAGCGUAGUAAUUCUUCUCGCUAUGGAGUCCUGGUGGAUGCUUGCCAUCAACCCCCAAUUUUUCUAUGGUUGACCUCGGAUCAGGUAGGGAUACCCGCUGAACUUAAGGAUAUCAAUAAGCGGAGGA